GAUGAACGCUGGCGGCGUGCCUAAUACAUGCAAGUCGAGCGAACGGACGAGAAGCUUGCUUUUCUGAUGUUAGCGGCGGACGGGUGAGUAACACGUGGAUAACCUACCUAUAAGACUGGGAUAACUUCGGGAAACCGGAGCUAAUACCGGAUAAUAUUUUGAACCGCAUGGUUCAAAAGUGAAAGACGGUCUUGCUGUCACUUAUAGAUGGAUCCGCGCUGCAUUAGCUAGUUGGUAAGGUAACGGCUUACCAAGGCAACGAUGCAUAGCCGACCUGAGAGGGUGAUCGGCCACACUGGAACUGAGACACGGUCCAGACUCCUACGGGAGGCAGCAGUAGGGAAUCUUCCGCAAAGGGCGAAAGCCUGACGGAGCAACGCCGCGUGAGUGAUGAAGGUCUUCGGAUCGUAAAACUCUGUUAUUAGGGAAGAACAUAUGAGUAAGUAACUGUGCACAUCUUGACGGUACCUAAUCAGAAAGCCACGGCUAACUACGUG
rnacentral:rRNA from 1 species